rnacentral:lncRNA from 1 species
CUGUCUCCAAGCAUAACUGUGAGAAUUAUCUGGGGAUGGUGUGAAGUGCCUGGCAUGUCGCAGCCUUGAAACAAAUGCCAGUUCUCCCUCCCCCACCCACCACAGGCUGCCAGCAUUCCAGCUGGGGCAGUGUGUCCCAGUACCUUGUCCUUGCCCUCCUCAGGCAGCGCUCACCUGCAGGCAGCCCUGUGGGCUGUCACUCAUCAUCUGCCCUGUGCCCAAGCAUUGUCUCCCUUGCUUUUGCUGACAGUGAUGUCCUGGCUUUGGUCCCAGCCUGUCCUCCUUGGCAGAACACCUGGCAUUUCACUCCACCCUCGCCCCCAACCGGUAAUACCUGUCAGCCCAGCCUUGCCAACAUCCCUAGAUGUGACCUACACCUGCCUAGACCCACAGACUGUUCCCUAGACCCUUUUGGCUGUCCAGGCCAGACCUGUCCCUAGUCCACAUGUCAGUUCCGUGCCCUGUAACACAGCUAGCUACUGGGAGGUUCUGGACCCUGGAAGGUCUCAGGGUUCCCCUGCAGCUUGGGUUGGGUGCAGGGGUAGAUUCAGGGUGGCAGGCUCAGCUCAACCUCACAGAGAGAGUUAUGGCUGAGAGUUAUUUCCUGAGAGUCAGGAAACUUGGCUGAACCCUGGCUAAUGGGCUGUGUGGCUGUGGGCAAUACACUGGCCCUCUCUGGGCCUCAGAUUUUUAACCAAUAAUUGGAGAGAAUCCAUCCCUAAGGCCUGUUCUGGCUCUAAUGGUCUCGGAUUCUAGGAGGAAAGGGCCAGAAGUCUGCAGCAAAGGUCUGUAACCCCCUUCCUCUGUGCCCUGAAAGGGGCAGCAGGAAAGCCUCAUAUCCCAGCGCAGCCCCGCCUCCGCUGUCUUGGCGAGGCACGCACUCACUCCUUGGGAUUUACAAUGGGCUGAAUUCAUUUGCAUAACAAAAUUGGCUCGGGUAUCCAAGUGUUGCAGGAAGACAAGUGUAACAUUACGCAGAACAAGCAGCUGGGAGGAAGGUUACCACCAACAAUGAGGGAACAAGAUGCCCGCCCACCUGCUGCCUCUGCCAACCUUUCAUCCACAGGCAUGGGGGGCUGCCCGGGGGCAGUGUCAGGGGUGGGGGAGAAGAGAUCUGCAGGCAUGGGAGAUGGCUGCCUGCCCAGGGAUCUGGGCUGGGUGGAUGGGUCGGAUGGGAGGGGAACUCCUGCUCCUAGGGUCUUCUCACUGUUAGGGUGAAGAGGUUUCCUUUGCUAUUUCUAAAUGCCUGCACCAUUUAAAUGGUCCCAAAAUUAUCUCCCCACUCUCAGGACUUGAUAACACAAGAACUUAACCACUAACCAUGCACCGGUCCACUCAUCCACUCUCAUCCAUUCACUCGCUCAUCCACACAUCUGCCAUCUAUCCACCUGCCACCAUCCAUCCGCCUGCCACCAUCCAUCCAUCCAUUCAUCCAUUCACUCAUCAAUUUACCCAUCCGCUCAUCUCCCCAUCCAUCUGCCUAUCCAUUCUUUCAUCCUUCCACGCACCUUCCCACUCUCACCCACUCACCUAUACACUCAUCUAUUUACUAAUCCCUCUGCCCACCCAUGUGUCCAUCCAUCUAUCCUUCCAUCCACCCACUCAUCCACUUACUCAUCCACCAGGCCCCUCAUUAAUUCACCCAUCCACCCUUGCAUCCAUCUAACAAAGCCAGAUGUUGGACACGUGUUUGUGCCAGGUACAGCACUGGGGAUUUCUCUGUGCCUCAGCUUCUUCGUCUAUAAAAUAAGGGUAAUAAUGGGAUCUACCUCACAAGCUUGACCAUGGCCCAGACUAAGUGCUGUGUAAGUGUUUUCUGAUGUUAAUCUUAUUAGGCACUGGGGAAUCUAAAGGUAAAUAAAACAGAGUUGCUGCCCUAAAGGAAAUCACACACUUCCUGGGGAAAAAUGCAAGAAAACUGGCAUUAGGGUCCCUCGUGGGAUGUGCUCAUCUGUAGGGAAAUAUUAAGGGUUGCGGGACGGCCAAAGCUUGGGCGUCCUGUCUCAUUCCAGGCUCAUUUGGGAGGUAGGAGGGGACAAGAAGUAUCGUUAUUGAUCUUUGUAUAUUACAGAUGAGGAAACUGAGGCCUAGGAGAGUUAAAGGACCGCCCAAGACCACACCACCGCACAGAGACACCAGGACUGAACGCUUGUGUCUUCUGACUUGCAGCUUCCAGCAGCCUGGAUCAUGCUCUUCUUACCUCAUCUGGGUAGCAAGAGAAGGCUGCUCUAAAGCUACCUUACUCCCAGGUUGCAGGAGCAGAACCAAGACGUUCAGAUCCCUUGAGGAAGAGAAUGGCUCAGCAUGAGGGGGCCUCACCCAGAGCCCUGGGUCUGCUCUGAGCCCCUCACUUAAAGAGGGAAGCUGACCAAAUGAGCAGAACAGAGCAACAGAGCAAGUGGCACCAGAGAGACCACCCACGGAGGGCACUUCGUGAAGAGCGAGGAUUGGCUCUGACCAGUGCUUAUCAGCAGGCACACAGGUAGUUGAAAACAAAUCCCAGAUAUCAGGUGACUUCAUGUGGAAUGACUUCAGUAAGUACCUCUCACUAACUGGCCAUGCCAGGAUCACACCUGAGGAAAUUAACAGUAAUCCCAUGGUGAGCGUCAGCUGACACUCAGUCCCUCUUUAACUGCGCCCCGCCUCCUCCCGUAAAUAUGUAAACCCACACUGCAAGGGUGGAUGGAGGGCCAUGUGGCCGGGCGGCUUCUGUGCUUUAGCUUUGGAGCCUUAAGAGGGUGAGGGUUGAAUACCUGUGGCUUUGGGUGGGUGGUUUGCUUUAUGGGGCCUCUCUUUCUUCCUAUGCCAAAGGUACUGACCUCUCCCAAGGCGGUCAGGAGGACUGAAUGAAAUUGUAUGAGUACAGUACUGGGUACUUGGUAGGGACUCAAUGAAUGGUGGCAGUGCUUACGAUGUUUUCUAUUUUGCAUAUAAGGAAACUGAAGUUCAGAGCAGGAGAGUGACUUGCUCAAGCUCACACAGCUCAGAGUGGUUAAGCUAGGAUGGAAGCGUAGGUCUUCUAAGUGCUCUGGGAUGUGUGUUCAACACAGCCCCCUCACCCCCUCUAAUACUGGCCUUGUCUGCCACCACCCCAUACUACAAAUGGAAAUGACACAGAGGGUGACAUCAACAGGUCCCUUUUUCUCGAUAGCCACUAGAUCAUGGUGCUGUGGGCUGAGCAGAUGAUUGAUAGGACAUCACUGGGCCUGGCUCUCCAGGAGACCUAGAAAAAGAUCUUGCCCCUCUCUGGGCCUCAGUUUCCCUAUCUGUACCACAAGGGCAUUGACCUCCACGUGGUCUUCGAGACCUCUUCCAGUUCUGCUUUGUUUGCACCAGGGUUAGUAACCGUGGGAAUGGGAGAGAUGGAGAUACUUGAGGCUGAUGGGGAGUUGCACAGCCCAAGACCCCAGGCUGCAAGACAGUAUGGGGAUGAGGGCGAUCCUCCCAUAUUGGAGAUCAGGGAUGGGGUGGCCCAGCUAGGUAGAAGUGAAGCUCCCCCACCCCCACUGGAUUGUGAACCUCCUGAAAUUAGGGCUGUGACUUGUACCUUAUAAGUAUCACAUAGAUGAGAAAAAAUUUCAUCGAUGUAAUGGAUGGAACACUAGAUAGGAGAUCAGUAAGGAAAUAGAAGACUUUAAAAACACUGUAAACCAGCUAGACCUAACAGACACUGCUUUCUAACGGCGAUUGAAGAGCACAUUCCACCCAGCAACAGCAGAAUACACAUUCUUCUCAAGUGCACACGGACCAUUCUCUAGCAUAGAUCAUAUCUUAGGCCACAAAUCAAAUCUCAAUAAAUUUAGAAAAAUUGAAAUUACACAAAAUAUGUUCUCUGACAACAGAGUAAUGAAAUUAGAAGGUCAAAAACAGAAGGAAAUUUGAAAAUUCACAAAUAUGUAAAAAUUAAACGACACACUCCUAACCAAAGGGUCAAAAAAUAAAUCAUAAGGGAAAUUAGAAAAUACUUUGAGACGAAUGAAAACAAAAACACAACAUACUAAAACUUACAGGAUGCAGUAAAAGCAGUGCUCAGAGGGAAAUUUAUAGCUGUAAACACCUACCUUAAAAUAGAAGAUCUCAAAUCAAUAACCUUCCACCUUACUAAAAAAAAAAAAAGCAAACUAAAUCCAAAGCAAGCAAAUAAAAAAAUUAGAGCAGAGAUAAAUGAAACAGAGAACAGAAAAACGAUAGAGAAAAAUCAGCAAAACCAAAAGUUGGUUGUCUGAAAUGAUCUACAGAAUUGACAAACCUUUAGCUAAACUGACCGAGAAAAAAAAAAAGAGAGAGAAAACUGAAAUUACUAAAGUCAGGAAUGGAAGUGGAGACCUUGCCACUGACCUUACAGAAAUAAAAAGGAUUAUACAAUUUCACUGAUAGAUUCGAAAGAAACUCCACAACAUUUCUAGAGAUUGGAGAGAACAUCCGGAAAUGGUUACCAGUAGUUGCCUUCAGGGAAACAGGGCUGGGGUGGGUGGAGCUGGGGUGCCUGCUUUUUAUUAUAAGUCCUUAAGGGCUAUUUUUGUAAAUGCUUUGAUUGCAAAAUAUAAGACACAUACAGAAAAGUGGAUUUUUAAAAAGUACCGCUCAGUAAUUUAUCACCAAGUGAAUAUCCAUGAAACCACCACUUGGUCAAGAGGAACAUUACCACCUCCCCAGAAGCCCCUCCUGUACUCUAGCCAAUCCUCCUCCCCAAAGAAAACCACCAUUCUGACCUUUAUGGCAAAUACUCUUGCUCUCCUUGAUAGUUUUGCCAUCUCUACACACAAUAGUUGGGUUCAGUUCGUGCUUGAUAAAUCCAAUCAAGUAGCAGGUCCUCUUUUGGGUCCGGCUUCUUGCAUUUUACAUUCUGUUUGUGAGAUUCCCCAUGCUGUUGUAGGAAGCAAUCGUUGGCUCAAAUUUUCUUAGCUGUAUCAUAUUCCAUUUUAUGAGUACACCAUCAUUUAUGUGUCUGUUCAACUAUUGAUGGAAUGGGCUUUUUAAAAAGCCAUGUACCUAAAGAUAGGUUGAUUAAAAUAUUUCUGAUAAAAUGCACAUUUAAAAUGCAACUCAACACAUAUUAGUUUAAUUUCAUCCCUAGGAUCCUCAUUCCCUUUUCUGCUCCAAUAAGUCAUGAAGACAGCUUGGGUCUCAGAAGAAAAUAGGCCGUUUAAGCAGAAGCCCAGAGGGAACACAUCUGAGAGAUGCCCACACCCUCAUGGGGUCCUCUCAUCAGCCCUUCUCCCCAAAUUUUCAGCCUCAAAUGGGGGAGGUCACACAGAUGGAGAGAAACCACUCUCUCCCUUCCACCCGAGGUCUGCAGAUUCCUGACACACAUACGAGUGCACACCCAGGCAGACAGGCAAGAGCGUGGCCCCCACACAUGAGCACACACACGGGCACCUAGGCAUAUCCCAGAAGUGGCAAUGCCUGCUGGCACCUGACCAGCAGGCGAGGUCUGUGCACAGAGAAGUUGUGGAAGAAGAGGAGGGGAAAGCGUGGGGGAAAAAUCCCCUCAUUUCUGAAGAAAUGUCCCAGAUUAGAUUUGUAAAUCAAAAACCAAUAUAUAACAUGCAAGAAUUGAUCUGUUUUAUAUUCCUCAGUUACAUUUUUGUGAAGCACAUUUAGAAGAUUUAGAACGUAUUUGCGCCUGCUGGUUGGGCCAUUAUAUGCUUGAGUUCAUACAUCUAUUUGUGAGGCUAUAAAACAGGCAUCGACUACCAUGUAAAUUGUGUUCUCCACAAUAAAUUAUAUGCAUACUUGCAAAAAUACAUAACUGCCGUGCCUGGGCCAACGCGGCCAGAAUACUAAUGAGGGCGAAAGUUGCUUUGUCCCUCUUCUCCGGCCUAAUUUAGCCUCUACAUCAAAAAUUAUGUAGGAAAAAUCACUUUAUCCUCUCACUGAGAAAUAAAAUAGCACUCAUGGGUACCCUCAUCUCUUCCCACCCCCCUUCCUUUUAACCGAACACUACCAUUUUCAUACUAAUUUUAGCUGCUCCAGGUUUACGGGGAGGAAGGCUGGCUGAGCUGAAGCUGGGGUGCCAGCGGGCUGCCUGGAUGUAUGAGAAGGCUGUGGGAGUGGGCAUGUGCAUGCACACACUCACACACACACAUGCAUACACACGUAGGCACAUUCCCUCCGUGUGGUUUGAAUUCGCUUGUGCCAGGGCAUGUUCACAGCAUGCACACAGACCUACAUGUAAAUGUGAAGACUCACCCCAGACACGCAUGCACAGACACUCCACGAGCAUUUGCCCACGUGGCGCAGAUUCAUUCCCUCUCCCCGGUACAGACUCCUAUGCACAGAGACACACUGGGGAAAUUCAGUUCAGUUCGGUUCAAUUCAGUUCAAACAGGUCAGUCCAGCAAACACUGACUGAGCACCUAUUAGAUGCCAUGUGCUGUACUUGGCAUUGGGACUACGGAGAUUUUUUUUUAAAAAAGGCAGAAUCUCAGCUUAUAGCUCAGGGGAAGAGGCAGCUUUAGGAACAAAUGCAGACAAGUCAGUAUGCUGAGGGCUGUAGCAGAGACAGAGAGCAUACAGGUACACACACUCACGCCCUGGUCAUUGUCAGUGUGCAUAUUUUCCAGUACUCAUAUGUGCACACACAGAUGCACACAGAGUCCCUGCACUUACACAGGCACAUACCUCACACCACAUGGACUCACGUGUGCAUGCACAACACACACAUACACACACCGGUACACUCAAGCAUCAGCAUAGCCACCCUCCCACUGACACCGCAUGCUGGUGCCUGCCUCACCUCUGUCUUUCCUGCAAGCCCAAGUUAACUUCACGCCCUGUCUGGCUUGCCCUUUCUUGGGUUCUGUUGCUGUCUAUCCUGGAAGCAGAGCCACUUCCAACAGCAGGCUGGCUAGUGUUGCUCCCACUUCUCCCAGGGGCCUGCCCAAGGUUCCAUCUUGCUGGGAGCUUCCGCAGGCUCACAAGAGGAAGGAGAAGUAGACACAGGAAGAUCUCAUUUCCAUGACCUCAGGCCAGUCCGUGCCCUGUCCCAGGCCUCAGUUUACUCCUUUUCUUUUUCUUUUUUCCUUUCUUUUUUUUUUUUUUUUUUUUUUGAGAUGGAGUCUCACUCUGUCACCCAGGCUGGAGUGCAGUGGCGUGAUCUCUGCUCACUGCAACCUCCACCUCCCAGGUUCAAGCAAUUCUCGUGCCUCAGCCUCCCGAGUAGCUGGAACUACAGGUGUGCACCACUACAUCUAGCUGCCUUUUUUGUAUUUUUAGUAGAGACAGGGUUUCACCAUGUUUGCCAGGCUGGUCUCCAACUCCUGACCUCAGGUGAUCCGCCCGUGUUGGCCUCCCAAAAUGCUGGGAUUACAGGCGUAAGCCACCGUGCGCCCGGCCUACCCAUUUUUAAAAUGUGGGAAUUGGAUGGUCUCUGAGGCCAUCAGGCUCCAGAUGUCCACAGUUUGUGCUGAAGAAGGUGGCGCCUCAGUCCAAGUCAGAGAGUGUGAGACAACUGCAGAGACGCCCCCAACCUGGAGGCAUCUCGGCCCCGCUCCGAGCUCCCAGCCUAAGAGAAGCGUUUGACCUCAGGGGCAGGCCUCAUGAGGGCAGGAGAAGUCAUGUCCUGGAGAAAAGGAGUGGCAAGAUGUGGUAGGGGAGAGAAGACUUGGUGCAAGAGGGCCAGCUGGGAUAUUUAUAGGUGCCAGCCACGGUUCUAGGGGAAUUUCAUUCUAUCUUCAAACACCUGAAGGGCUGCCGUGGGGCAGAGGGAAAGGACUUCCUCUGCAUGACCCAGUUGGUAGAACUAGGACAGUGGGAAAGUGGUGGAGGCUGCAAGGAGACAGACAGCCUUUAGUUGAAUACAGUGAUCAGCGUGAUUUCUCCGUGCGUGCACCCGCCUACCAGCAUGCGUGGUGUACAUUCUGCUGCUGUGUAUUCCGUCUCCUUGCAGCCCUUUCUUUCCUCUGCUCCCUAUAGCUCAUCCUAUGGCUUUUCAUACCGUACUAUUUUCUCUUUAUCUCAGCUUGUUCUUGGAGUAGAAAAUAUGUUCUUUUUAAAAACGAAAAUCAGAUUUUUAUUGAGGAAAAAAUAUUAAGUUCACAUGAUGAAAAAUUCAAAUUGGUCAAAGGAUGUAUGGCGAAAAGAAGGUCUCUCUCUCUGGCUGCCCAGGCUCCUCCGGCUGCCCAGGCUCCUCCGGCUCAUCGUCAUCCAGCUUCCUUCUCCAGAAACAACCACUGUUACCAAUUGUUAUGUGUUUUUUCAGAAAUAUACUGUGCGUGCAAGCAUCUCUCUCUGUCUGUUGAUCUGUCCUUUAUUUAACACAAAUGUGAGCAUACCAUGUGCCCUGAUCCUUGCCUCCCCUCCCCUCCCCUCAUCCCAACCUAACUACGUAGCUUGGAAGGUGUUUCUGAGGAAAAGUUCUCCAUUGGGCGAUAUCUGACAAUGAAAUGGGCUAACGAGCUCUCAACACUGGGGAUGUGGAGGCACAGGCUAGAUGACCACUUGGGGAAAGAAAAAUGGGAGAGUUGGGCCCUUCCUUGGAGGAGGAAGGUUAGACUCAUGCCGUCUAAGGCCCUUUCCAUGAACCAGCUGCUUGGAUACAAAGAGAACAGCUCUCUUUAUCUUGCGUUCUUCCCAUUUUUCCCCACUCCCUCCCAGCGCCCCACAAGCUGGGCCAGGGUCACCAGUGUUUAAAGCCGCCCAGCCUUGGCUUCCAGCCCUUGUGUAAUUGACAAGAAUUCCCCCCCUCCCUAAGAGAUGGCCUCUCUCUGUGCCAGCCACAUGCCACUAAACUCCAAAUUAAGAGGCCCAGCUGAGAUUUCUGUCUUAUUCCACCCAUACUCCUGGGGCCAAUCCUCUCUCAUUUCAGGAGGGGAAUGGAACUCAGUUUGGAUUUGGGAAGGGGGGUAGAGGGGGCUCGCCACCAAAGCUGGUGCCUCUAUGCUCCAGAGAGAUGUGCGUGUCCUACCAUGCGGCUUAAGACUUCUCCAAAACACCGUCCCCCCAAAUCCAAUAAAAUUGCAAAUUUCACUGUAUUUCACAAUAUCCUAAAUAAACAUGAACAGC